GCAAUUUUCACGCGAACGAUCUCUGAUAAACCAGACAAUAUGACACCAUCGUUUAAUUUUUCCCAACAAAUUUCAUUAUCAAGAAUGAAUAAUUUCCCUGAAUUAUAUUAAUCCGCAAAAGCCACAAAAUCACGCGUUUUUGUUAUAAAAGUGACAUGUUCUGAGAUAAAAAUUAGAGAGAUGUUCGCAACGAAUUUUUAAAAAAAUGUAUUCAGUUUAAAAAGGUUCAGAACCUACCUAACGUUGUGCAGUUACUUGAUCUGUGUCGCGUCGUGAAUAAUCACAUUAUGAAAGCACAUAAUAAUUUACCACUUUCAUAAAAAUCUUUUGUUGUGUAGUUACUUUUGCAAGCAAAGAGACGUCAUCCGACAACCCAACAUGAAACGGGUUCGCUUCACGUGUUUGGUGAUUUUUUUUGCAUCAUUAUUUUCAUUGAAGAACGUGAAUUGUGACAGUGAACUUUCAAAAAAGCAAGGCAACAAACCUAAACUCAAAGUAGCAGUUAUAUUAUCACUUUCUGAGCCGAACUCGAAUGACCUAACAUGUUCAGAUAAAUUUUUUCCUGACGCAUUACAAAACGUGGAAGCUGUAUACUAUGCCUUGGACCAGAUAGAAAAAGACGACACACUUUCACGAAAUUUCACCUUAACAGUUGAAGUAACAGAGAAUAGCGGUCAACUGGUCUCAGAAAUGAAAUACCUUUCAAAUUUAUUUGGGCAAUUGAAGAUGAGACCCGUGUAUGCUGAAAAUGCAACAGUUGGCCUUAUCUACACAAAUGAUUUAACAGUGCUUAACUACGAAUACAUAUUCAAAUCAUUUCACAAUUUCCCACGAAUUAGCUAUUCAGGACCGCUGACGGGAAUUGAGGAUAUAAGGGAGAUUGAAGAUCGUUCCCCUACUGAAUCGAUCAUGCUGACAUCCGGUCAUAUUUUCAUAGUAGAUGUUAUGUUUAAAAUUUUGAAACAGUUCAACUGGAAAUACGUUGCGGCAUUUUCGAAUUAUUGUGGACCACCCAACAUGCCAAAUUUUACCUUCAGACGCGCUCUAAAAUUAGCUGAAAGGUACAAUGUUUGUAUAGUUGGUUCAAGCCUGUGCUCAGUAAGUUGACUCAUCGACGAGUAAAUACCUAACCUACUACUGUCAUCUGAUAAAAAAGUUAUUAGUAAAAUGGUGUAAUAGUUAGAGGGGGAAAGGCUGUGAUAGGACUGACAGGUAAUGAUUAUCAUAAAUACUGGGUUGAAGGGGUUCCAAAAAAUAUCUUCCAAAGGGCGAAAAUUCCCUGGUACCUAGUUACAUACGAAUAUGCAACUUGUCUCUCCUGCUCUAACCUACACAGAAACCAGAUCAUAAUCUAUAGAAUAAAUCACGACACAAUGAUUUAUACUGCUUUAUUAUUGAAGUUAAAUCAUUGAGCUAAUCAUAAUAAAUUAAUUAUCAUUACUAGUAACUAAUUGAUUUCAUAAAGAACGAGAUUAGACCUAAAUUAUGUUAAGUACUUAUAUUAAACUACACUCAGGACGAAUCCUGGUGAUUGGUUAUUAGGUAGGACUAAAGUUAGAGCACAUUAAUAAUCUAUAUUCUAACUCGAAAAAGCUCAACACAGAUAGGAUGCAAACGCUCCACUAUGUCGAGCUGAUCACCAUUUAAUCUUGGAGUGUGUCUCAACACUUACCCAACCGUUCGCAUUAAGUAUCUCUUCUGGGGCUCACUUAAACUAGGCCCAUCGAUACUUAUGAUUUAUUUCUAAGUUCACUUUAAAACUGGGUACACACUCCCCAUGUCCGGAUAAUGGGAGGUGAUCCAAAAUACCACAAAUCGGGACAAUCUGUAUGAUAAUU